ensembl:lncRNA
GGAAGAGACGGGGCUUAGAAGGGCGGGUUUUUGUACCACUGCAGCAUCAGUACAAAAAAAAAAAGGAUAUUCAGGAGACAGACUUCGGAGGAGGAUGAAGAGAUAAUCAACCUGGAGACAUCGCGGAGCACUAGGAGAGACGCGCUUCACCUGCAGAGCAGCCAUGCCCUGUCCUCACGACCCAUUCAGCUGUGUGCUGAGAAGGGACCUCUAGUGGUUGUGGCGGUGAUCAGAGCCUCAUGUACGGAUGGGACCGGACGUCAACAGGGCCACAAACCAUCCAUGUUCAGCGCUCACCUCCCCCUCCCUCCACCACCUCUAACAGAGCCUUCUGGUACCUGGUGCUUGGAGGGUGGGGGU